UUAUUUACACAUUGUUAUAAGAGAAGCACUAACUAUUUAAUCAACUGUUGCUAGUGACGUCACAAUUGCUCCUCAAAUUUAAUUCUAACAUUUACCAACACUAACCAACAUGGCGUCCGGUGUUGUGCUGUGUCGUGUGCUUUUGUAACUAAAACUCCGUUUUGACAUCACUUUCAUCAUAAUCUGAAUAAAAAUAAUAAUAAUACAAAAAAUAAAAUAAAAAUAAAAAACCAUCGAAAACGAAUCAAAAAAGAAAUUAUAAUAAAUCAUUUAAUAAAAAACAAAGUUACAUAAUAAAAAUAAAAUAAAUAAAAAACAACAACUACAACAAAGCUCAAAAAGUCUAAGAGGCGAUUAAUUCGGAGGGGCAUCUGCCAUAAACUUUUAGUUUUGAAUUUCCUUUGUUUUUGGUUGCAAUUUGCUUCAAACACACCUCUCGACUACAACUACAACUAAAACAACAACAACUGCAUGCCGAAAAGCUCACACAUGUUAAUCAGUCUACGCUCAAUAGCCGAAAUUAGCGAAGAGGACGAGAAUUGACGCGAAGAAAGACUACAACAAAAGAAAAAGGAAUCGGUUAGAGGAGCACGCUCAAGAGUCUGCUUAUGUGGGAGUGAGCGAAAGAGAGACGACAUAGCGACUGCGCAUCUGUGCAAACAAAACAACAA